rnacentral:rRNA from 1 species
AUACGGAGGGAGCAAGCGUUAUUCGGAAUCACUGGGCGUAAAGGACGCGUAGGCGGGUUUGUAAGUCAGGUGUGAAAUCCUACAGCUCAACUGUAGAACUGCACUUGAAACUACAGACCUAGAGUAUGGAAGGGGCAGAUGGAAUUAGUGGUGUAGGGGUAAAAUCCGUAGAUAUCACUAGGAAUACCGAAAGCGAAGGCGAUCUGCUGGGACAUUACUGACGCUGAGGCGUGAAAGCGUGGGGAGCAAACAGGAGUAGAAACCCUAGUAGUCC